rnacentral:rRNA from 1 species
UACGGAGGGGGCUAGCGUUGUUCGGAAUUACUGGGCGUAAAGCGCGCGUAGGCGGCUUUGUAAGUCAGAGGUGAAAUCCCGGGGCUCAACUCCGGAACUGCCUUUGAAACUGCAUCGCUUGAAUCCGGGAGAGGUGAGUGGAAUUCCGAGUGUAGAGGUGAAAUUCGUAGAUAUUCGGAAGAACACCAGUGGCGGAAGGCGGCUCACUGGCCCGAUACUGACGCUGAGGCACGGAAAGCGUGG